GUUCCUGUGACUGAGAUCAGUGAUGGUUUUUCAGGCAGUAGACAUUGGARAAAAGCCAAAUGGGAACC
rnacentral:tRNA from 1 species